GGGCUGGGGUCUGAACAACAGCGCUCAGGACCAGACUCGGGAGGUUUCUCAGGGAGAGGAUCAGGUUGGGAACCCUGGACAUGCCCUGAGGCCACAGCCCAGAGACAAGGGUUCACAGGAUCGGAGUCGCUUCUCUCAAGCUGCCCACAACUACUUCACAUGACCAUGUCAUAAAACCAGGAACUGGAUAUUCUAGAGUUAGAACCCAAGCCAUCAGUCACAAUACCUGAGCUGUCUCACCAGCCUACGGAAAAUGAAGCAGAUAAAUCCUUCAGGACAAAAGAUGCAACACAAAUGGAAAAGGAGUAAGGAGAGAAAAAGGAAUUUAUCUU
rnacentral:lncRNA from 1 species